AUUUUUUUUUUUGAUUUUUUUAGUUCUACAUGACAUUUUAACUGUCAAUGUCAUAAUACUGUUUGCUUUUACUGCAAUAAAAUACACAUAUUUGUAUUCAGCAAAGUCUCACGUGUAAAACAGUACCCCCUAUGUACAGGUUUUAUGGCGUUUUGGGAAGUUACAGGGUCAAAUAUAGCACGUUACAUUUGAAAUUGAAAUUCGCCAGAUUGGUUGCGUUGCCUUUGGGACUUUAUAGUAGCCCAGGAAUGAAAUUUACACCCAUAAUGGCAUACCAUUUGCAAUAGUAGACAACCCAAG
rnacentral:lncRNA from 1 species